rnacentral:tRNA from 1 species
GCUUAUAUGGUGUAUCAAGCACAUAAGGUUUUCAUUCUUAGGGAGGGAUUAUUUUCUAUAAGCU